rnacentral:rRNA from 1 species
GAUCAUGGCUCAGGAUGAACGCUGGCGGCGUGCUUAACACAUGCAAGUCGAGCGAAGCACUUAGGAAAGAUUCUUCGGAUGAUUUUCUAUUUGACUGAGCGGCGGACGGGUGAGUAACGCAUGGGUAACCUGCCUCAUACAGGGGAAUAACAGUUAGAAAUGACUGCUAAUACCGCAUAAGACCACAGCACCGCAUGGUGCAGGGGUAAAAACUCCGGUGGUAUGAGAUGGACCCG